rnacentral:lncRNA from 1 species
GUUUGGGUUUGAUUUUGGGAGUUUUGGUCCCAACAGGUUUUUAGGAAUAAGGGGCCCAAAGGGUCCAAAAUUGAACUUUGUUUGAUUUCAUCAAAAAUUGAAUAAUUGGGGUUCUUUGAUAUGCCGGGUCUAACUGUGUAUGUAGAUUCUUAAUUUUUGGUCCCGUUUUCCAAUUGGUCUACAUUAAGGUCCAAAGGGUCCAAAAUUAAACUUAGUUUGAUUUUAACAAAAAUUAAAUCCUUGGGGUUCUUUGAUAUGCUGAAUCUAAAAAUGUACUUAGAUUUUUGAUUAUUGGCCCAGUUUUCAAGUUGGUCCAAAUCGGGGUCCAAAAUUAAACUUUGUUUGAUUUCAUCAAAAAUUGAAUAAUUGGGGUUCUUUGAUAUGCCAAAUCUAACUGUGUAUGUAGAUUCUUAAUUUUUAGUCCCGUUUUCAAAUUGGUCUACAUUAAAUACCAAAGGGUCCAA